AGUCGACGAGACCUUCGGGUCUAGUGGCGCACGGGUGCGUAACGCGUGGGAAUCUGCCCUUGGGUUCGGAAUAACGUCGGGAAACUGACGCUAAUACCGGAUGAUGACGUAAGUCCAAAGAUUUAUCGCCCAGGGAUGAGCCCGCGUAGGAUUAGCUAGUUGGUGAGGUAAAGGCUCACCAAGGCGACGAUCCUUAGCUGGUCUGAGAGGAUGAUCAGCCACACUGGGACUGAGACACGGCCCAGACUCCUACGGGAGGCAGCAGUAGGGAAUAUUGGACAAUGGGGGCAACCCUGAUCCAGCAAUGCCGCGUGAGUGAUGAAGGCCUUAGGGUUGUAAAGCUCUUUUACCCGGGAUGAUAAUGACAGUACCGGGAGAAUAAGCCCCGGCUAACUCCGUGCCAGCAGCCGCGGUAAUACGGAGGGGGCUAGCGUUGUUCGGAAUUACUGGGCGUAAAGCGCACGUAGGCGGCGAUUUAAGUCAGAGGUGAAAGCCCGGGGCUCAACCCCGGAACUGCCUUUGAGACUGGAUUGCUUGAACAUCGGAGAGGUGAGUGGAAUUCCGAGUGUAGAGGUG
rnacentral:rRNA from 1 species